rnacentral:lncRNA from 1 species
UGGGGUUCUUUGAUAUGCCGAAUCUAACUGUGUAUGUAGAUUCUUAAUUUUUGGUCCCGUUUUCAAAUUGGUCUACAUUAAGGUCCAAAGGGUCCAAAAUUAAACUUAGUUUGAUUUUAACAAAAAUUGAAUCCUUGGGUUCUUUGAUAUGCUGAAUCUAAAAAUGUACUCAGAUUUUUUAUUAUUGGCCCAGUUUUCAAGUUGGUCCAAAUCGGGGUCCAAAAUUAAACUUUGUUUGAUUUCAUCAAAAAUUGAAUAAUUGGGGUUCUUUGAUAUGCCAAAUCUAACUGUGUAUGUAGAUUCUUAAUUUUUGGUCCCGUUAUCAAAUUGGUCUACAUUAAAGUCCAAAGGGUCCAAAAUUAAACUAAAUUUGAUUUUAACAAAAAUUGAAUUCUUGGGCUUUUUUGAUAUGCUGAAUCUAAACAUGUACUUAGAUUUUUGAUUAUGGGCCCAGUUUUCAAGUUGGUUCAAAUCAGGAUCCAAAAUUAUUAUAUUAAGUUUUGUGCAGUAGCAAGAAAUUUUCAAUUGCACAGUAUUCAGCAAUAGCAAGAAAUCUUCAAUUGCACAGUAUUGUGCAAU